AUUGAACGCUGGCGGCAGGCCUAACACAUGCAAGUCGAGCGAGCGGCGGACGGGUGAGUAAUGUCUGGGAAACUGCCUGAUGGAGGGGGAUAACUACUGGAAACGGUAGCUAAUACCGCAUACCAUCAGAUGCGCCCAGAUGGGAUUAGCGCGUAGGUGGGGUAAUGACUCACCUAGGCCACGAUCCCUAGCUGGUCUGAGAGGAUGACCAGCCAAACUGGAACUGAGAAACGGUCAGGCCUCAUACGGGGGGCAGCAGUAGGGAAGAUUGCACAUGGGGCGCAAGCCUGAUGCAGCCAUGCCGCGUGUGUGAAGAAGGCCUUCGGGUUGUAAAGCAGUUUCAGCGGGGAGACGUUACCCGCAGAAGAAGCAACGACUAACUCCGUGCCAACCACCGCGGUAAUUC
rnacentral:rRNA from 1 species